AUAUUCUGAUAACUGGUGCUGAGGAAGAAGAUUAGGACUGUUUUUAGCACUGAAGGCUGCAGGACAUAUGGAUGCUGCAGACCUGUUAGUGACAGACAGAAAGUUGUUUGGAGGCAACAGGACAGAUUGUCUGGGAUUCCUGGCUGAGUCCCAAGGAAAGGCUGAUGAGGAGGAGGUGAGAGGAGAAGCAAAGGACCGAAUUCUUCUGCAGAAGAAAAGAAGCAGAAAAGGGAUCUGCAAGCAGAGACAAUGCUGCUCCUGUCAAGGGCAUGUGCUGUCUGGUCAGGGCACAGCCAUGAUUCCCUCUGGUAGGAGACAGGGGAGGGAAUUUUGGGAGGGAUGGAUGGAGGCAGUGUCCCUGAGUAGCAGGAAAAGUGCCUGGGAGGGGGCCUGCACAGGGGUCAGGAGGGGCAAGGACCUGGAGGGAAGCUGGAGUCUGGAGAUGGGACCAGUGUCAGAAGCACAGAACAGCCCAGGCUGGAAGAAACCCCCCAAGGUCAUCUGGUUCAACCUUUCAUGGGAAACAGAGAGUGUAGAUGAGAUUCUCUGGCACCCUGUGCAGUCACAUCUUGAAAACUUCCAGCAGUGA
rnacentral:lncRNA from 1 species